UCACCGACUUUAGUGCACUCCCAUCCUUCGCCUUUUCCCGUGGACGAAUCGGACGACGAAAGCGUCGUUUAUUUCUCCGGCGCCUUUGAUCCAGGAAGGCGUCUCCUCUUCUCCGUUCUGGCGGCGAAUGUGUCAUCUCUUCUCUGGUGGUUUUUAUCGGCCUCGAGAACUCCGUUCUUGGCCAGCCAACGCUCUCGUCCCCAUCGCUUGGAACCGCCCCGAUCUCUCUUCCUCCAGAACCGCAGCCGGCACCGAAUCAUGCACAGAAUAAAUAUGCUUAUAGGUGAAUUCUGAUGCAUUACAGACAGAAUGAAAUGUACCAUGCCGGCUUUAUGUUUAUUGUAUCAUUUUAUGAACUAAUUCUAUCAAUUAGAACGAGUUGUUGUCUCGCUUUAUGUUAUGCACUCACAACAGCUACAAGCAUGUAUCCGGUUUCAUGAUUCUAAGGAUCGGCGGGAAAGUCUCCCUGGUGCAAGCCUGGCUCAACAUUUGAAGUGGGUGCAAACAGCUCUAACCUGUAACUGAUACACAAGACACUGCCCUAGAAGAAGCUACUGAGUGGCGCUGGAAAAUAAUUCUGAUUAGAGCAUAAGAAGUGUAUCAUUAAAACAGCGAUUCAUUAUCAUAAUAGCUUGUGCACACCUUAUUAGGGAAGUAAACCUGUUAACCUGCUAGUAGGACAAAGAACAGCAAAAGUUGAUUAUAUCAUAUAGGGAGUUUGCACAUA